rnacentral:rRNA from 1 species
CAGCAGCCGCUGUAAUACGAAGGGGGCUAGCGUUGCUCGGAUUUACUGGGCGUAAAGCGCACGUAGGCGGACUUUUAAGUCAGGGGUGAAAUCCCGGGGCUCAACCCCGGAACUGCCUUUGAUACUGGGAGUCUUGAGUUCGAGAGAGGUGAGUGGAAUUGCGAGUGUAGAGGUGAAAUUCGUAGAUAUUCGCAGGAACACCAGUGGCGAAGGCGGCUCACUGGCUCGAUACUGACGCUGAGGUGCGAAAGCGUGGGGAGCAAACAGGAUUAGAUACCCGAGUAGUCCCUGUCUCUUAUAC